rnacentral:pre_miRNA from 1 species
CAGGGCAUGGGGGGUUCCUUUGCCCAGAUUGUGAGAGGGCACAGGCCAGGCCAAGGGACCCCACCAGUGCAUG